rnacentral:rRNA from 1 species
UACGAAGGGUGGCAAGCGUUACUCGGAAUUACUGGGCGUAAAGCGUGCGUAGGUGGUUUGUUAAGUCUGCUGUGAAAGCCCCGGGCUCAACCUGGGAAUGGCAGUGGAUACUGGCAAGCUAGAGUGCGGUAGAGGGUAGUGGAAUUCCCGGUGUAGCGGUGAAAUGCGUAGAGAUCGGGAGGAACACCAGUGGCGAAGGCGGCUACCUGGACCAGCACUGACACUCAGGCACGAAAGCGUGGGGAGCAAACAGGG